CCUACGGGUGGCAGCAGUGGGGGAUAUUGCACAAUGGGGGAAACCCUGAUGCAGCGACGCCGCGUGAGGGAAGACGGUCCUAUGGAUUGUAAACCACUGUCCCCAGGGACGAAGAUGACGGUACCUGGGGAGGAAGCUCCGGCAAACUACGUGCCAGCAGCCGCGGUAAUACGCAGGGAGCGAGCGUUGUCAGGAAUUACUGGGUGAAAGGGGAGCGUCGGCGGGACUGCAAGUUGGGGGUCAAAUCUACCGGCUCAACCGGUAGCCGCACUCCAAACUGCAGUUCUUGAGUGAAGUAGAGGCAGGCGGAAUUCCUAGUGUAGCGGUGAAAUGCGUAGAUAUUAGGAGGAACACCAGUGGCGAAGGCGGCCUGCUGGGCUUUUACUGACGCUGAGGCUCGAAAGUGUGGGGAGCAAACAGGAUUAGAUACCCGAGUAGUC
rnacentral:rRNA from 1 species